rnacentral:lncRNA from 1 species
UCUUUCUUGAUGGAAAAGCCACAAUAAGUAAAGAGUGACCAUUGCACACAUAAAUAAAAAAUAGUAAUGCAUCCUUUCUACCAUGUCUUUCAUCUCAUAUGUAUCUAAUCUUGGAUGAAAGCAUUUCUGUUUUUAUAUAAUAGACCUAGUAUGUUGCAUGAAGACUUUAUAGAACAAACCUUAGGAUAAAGGUUUCCUGAGAAAACUCCCUGUGCAUAUUUUCAUUUAGACUACCAUUCUUAAAUACUUUGAUAGCCACAUCUUGAUUAAUGUAAGUGCCUUUAUACCUGUGUCAAUCAAGCAAUAAAUCAACAUGUAUUGAUUCAAAACAAUACCAAAUAGAUUACAUGUUACUUAAUACUCACAAAUCACUGACUGAUCCAGAGGCAAUUUUCUUCUCAUAUUUUAAACAACUUGCUUCAAUUUCCCAUACAUCAUUUCUACUGAUGGGUUUGUUUACAUGGUUAAAGAUAUAGUUCAUUCCAAUUUUCUCUGGUCUCUCCUUAGGAAGACUGCACCAUGGCUGCUUCUUGGUUCCAAUAAAAAACACAGAAAGAUGAGGGUAAGCUUCGAUAGUAAUGAAACUUAAUUAUAAUUUCAUAUUAUUUACAGAAAGAUUGUAUUGUUCUUCAACAUUGUGAACUUUUUGUAGAUGUGUAUUGGUACAUAAUCUUAAAAUAACUAUUUGAAAAGUAAUGAAAUCAAAGUGACAUAUUUUAUAAUUAAAAUUAAAAGCAAAAGCAAACAAAAAAUUGAUACCAAACGGUACUAAUCUUCUUAUAUACUAAUACAUUUAAAUUUGAUCAUUUUAUGUUACUAACAAGGGUGACAACUGACAUCUACCCUAAACAAAGCAUGUAGUAAUUGGGGAGAGAAACAUCAAUAUCUUUUAUGAUGAGUAAAAAAAUUAAAUCUGAAAGCAAAUUCAAUGAGCUAAAGGUGUAACUACCUCGAGUUUCUUAAUUUUCUUUGUUGGAAUAUUCUUUGUUGGAAUAUGUUUAAGUGUUCCAGUCUCCUGUAAAAUUCACAUAUGAACAUUAAUUAUGUUCAAGCAAAGAAAUUAGAUACCAAAGUAAGUACUCUAGUACAUCAUAUUGAGGUCUACAACUACUAGGUUACCUUACCAAACAUAUGUGCAAUUGAUUUGAGAAAAGUUCUUUAGUUGUUGCUAUAAUAAAUCCCUUUUUUACCUCAGUAAGUCAAGUUAAUUAACUUAUUAUUCCAAUAUAUCUUCAAAAUUGAUAAAUUUAUUAACAAGAGCAUUAAACUAUCUACCAUGCAUGAGCUAUAGGUGAGAUUAUAGACGCAAUAUAACGAUGUAUACCUUGGGGAAAAGGUGCAGGGGUAACCAUUGAUCUUCCUGAUAAGAAGUAAAAAUAUUAUAUCUUAUAAUAUAUUCAGUGAGCAGAGGUGUAACAAGGGACACACAAAUGUGGCAUACCUCGAGUUUCUGCAUUUUCUUUGUCACUUCAUGCUUGAGGCUCUCAAUAUCCUAUAAAAAUGCAUGCGUGAAGAUUAAUCAAGUAACUUAUUACGAAGUAAUUCAAAAAAAAAAAAGUAGAGCGAAAAAGAAUUUGUAUAGUACAUUCUGUCGAAGUCUAAUAGUGAUACAAUUAGGUUGUCAGACUGUGCACAAUUGGUUUCAAAACAAGUUAUAAGGUGGCUAUAUAAAUGUGAAGAGAAUUUUCAAUUGAAUAAGCUAUUGUUUUAAGACUAAGUAUGAAAAGAAAACUACCUGGCCUGCCCAACCAUCAACAACAAAAACAUCCAAUGAAUAUCCAUCCAAUGUGGAAAAGGCAUGUGCUUCUUGAAUGUUCAGCCCAAUCUCAGAGAGUAAGGUAGUCAACUGUAAUCUCAGUACCAUUAUAAAUUACUGUGAUGCCUUGUAAUUAUUACGAACAUUACCAUAAUAUGUAGGAAAAAUAUUACAGAGAAAUGUUUGUACAGAAAAUAAUAAGAUUUGAUACCUGACUGAAUAGUUUUGGCUUAUCGCUGGUUGAAAUUGUGAUUUCAUGCAUUGGUCUGCGAUUUUAUAAUUAGCAGAGUGUGAUAUAUAAACAGAAAUAAAAGUGUUAAACAAUCAUUUUUGUUUUUCAAAAAGAUUACUUGAGCAAGAAGUAAAAUAGACUAAUAGAGAUUGAAAAUGAGAAGAUAAUAUAUUUGUUUUCUAUUAAUGAGUCUUAGCCGACAUGAUACCAUAGGCAAGGAUGAAGAGGGGGAUAUUAAAUUAUCAGGGGGGGAAAAAUGUAAACUAAGGAACAAUAGGAAAUACAACAUAAUGAUCAUCAAAUUAAAUGUAAUAAAAAUUCAAACCUUUAUCCCUAUCUUGAACUUGUAACCGGCUUGCACCAAGAUCAAGUUCAAGUUAAAUAAUUAAUCAAAGGCCAAGGAUGGAUGGAUAUUGGAUACUGAGGAGCAUGAUAAGAGAAAAGGCAACAGUUGGUAAAGUCUGAUAAAUCCAUAUUUAAGACAUUACAAGAAGAAUGAAGAGCAGAUAAUAUUACUUUAUAGAGGAAAAGGAUGUGUCAAUUUUCACAUAAUCAUGCCUCAUGUUGCUUGGAAUAUCAGUAAUGGUUUCUUUUUGUAAGUUGGAAUGAAAGGAUUUGCUCGAAUGUACACCAGAAGUAGAACGAACCUGCAUGAAAGAUAUUGAUGCCAUGAUCAUUUGGAUAAUUGGUAGUCGGCACCAUAAAGUUCGCAUAAAUCACCUGGAGGAGGCGGACUUCAAUUGCAGGUGUACUAGAAAUAGUUCGUGCCAUAUGUUGUAACCUUUUAUGCAUAAGAACAUCUUUGGCCUUCUCAACAUUCAUUUCCAGUGCAUACCUAGUUGGAAGGCUAUUGAAGUGCCCCCAAAGCUCAUCUUCAAAAUAAGGAAGUGUGGCCUCUGAGACAUUCAAUUCCUUGAGUCUACCAAGAAUCUCAUUGUAUACUUCAAUUUUGAGACUCUCAAUCCGACCACGACUCCAUCCACAAUUGAUCAAAGCUCUACUGUUGCAACUUUCUCUAUCUCCCAUGAUCUCUCUAUAUAAUUAACUUAACACUU